AUUCAGGUUCAGCCUCAAACCCUAACAAUGCUGACAGUAGGUCCCCUCGAGAUACAAAAAAGGAAGUGAUUGCCACAUUGUCAAAAAACUGCUAUGAACUAGAAACAAAACAAAGCAAGCAAGCAGUUUUGGGAACUAUCCAUCUCAAUAGCAAUAUUGCUCACCAACUGGGCUCUGUCCUCCUGUGAGCUUGCAAGAACAUGAGAGACUUUUUAAUGGACUGUCUGUCCCACAAUUAUGUCCUGCUAUGGGAGCACACUUGCUAUGUCUGGGACCAUACCAUACAUGUGUUUUGAGAGAAGUCAAGCUUCUGAAGCCAGCUGUACUGAUGUGAGAGAAUUCAGUUUUGUUCUAGCAGAGCACUGCAUUUUGUUUAAAGGGUCCCAAAAAUCUUAUGUAAAAGCAUGCUUAACCACCACAUUGGCUUGAUGGAGGUGUUAACAGCACUUCACGUUUUUCCUUAUACAACCUAGCCACAGUGCUCACAAUGUUCUACAGAGUGUAAGACUUCCUGGAUAGAUUUCAAGAACAACCAGUCCCAAAGCAGCCAUCAUCAUGCUAAUACCACUCCGCAGGUGAUGCUGUUUUUAUAGGUGCAUUUAAUGCUUUCAACUCUUAGCUUUGUUUUCAGAGUACUGUAAAAACUGCAUUUAAGCAAAGCAAGGGGCACCCAUGUGGCCUAUAUUGGACUCAAACAACUUUGUAAGUUCAGUCAUUUUAUAAAGCUUGAGGAAAGCAUAGUUGUUUUGAAUGUGUGAUAAAGGAUGAGUAUUUAAAUCCUUAGAGAAGAGCUGAGACACUAAAGACUGACAUGAGAAUUUCCCUUAAACUAGACAUUAGCCUACAUAAUUCCUACUGUACCACAAAUUGAAGAAAGAUUGUUUUUACUGAUACUCUUUUUCCAGUGACAAUCUGCAUGAGUUAAUGGGCAAUAAGCAAACUUGUUCCUGGACACAACUACAUGCUAUUCAGUAGGCUACUAGUCAAAUGUAUUUCCUAAAACAGGGAUGCUCAACCACCAGCCCAUGGGUCAGAUAUGGCCCUCAGUGUCAUGUCAUCCAACCCGCAGGACUCCACAUGGGUCCAGAAGUUUGGCAGUGGGGGAGCGAUGGCACUGCUCCCCUGCUGCCAAAUCUAUGAACCCAUGGGGUGCCCUUAGCCCUCAGGACCCAACCCUAGUGUGCAGGGAGUAGAAAGGGGCAAUGCUGACCCCAGGACUCGAUCCAGACAGAGGGAACCUGGGCUGUGGGGCCAAAAGGCUCAGUGUCACUGUCCUAGAACAACGGAGGCUACUCUUUUUAGCAUGCCACCAAUUAAGCCACCUUCUGAGUGCCGCUCUCAUCCCCUGCCUGAUCUACUACUUUGAUUUCUGCUGUCAGUUCUGUGCUCCUUGCCUGAACUGCUGCUUUGCUUUCUGCUUCUUGCUAUAUUUGCUGCUGUGCUACCUAUCCCCUUCCUGACCUGCCACGUGCCACACACAGGCUGCUGUGCUCCAGGUUUGCCACCCUGUGCUACAACAUAUGUCUGUGGAAUGUCUAGAUCAUUUACAAAUUAUGUUAAAGAACUGGCUGUCAAUGCACUCUAGUUAUUCUUAUACACCACAGUUAAGAACAUCCAUUAAUAUCUGAAUUCUCUGGUAGUUAAAGAUAGUACACAGAAUGCAAGAAGAGAAAGAAAGAUCAGUUUUACAGUUAACUGCUGCUUUUUAAAAACCUGAAAAUUAAGCAAUUCAGCCACUCCUGAAAGGGCUAAAAUUCACCUUAACAGGUGAUCUCCUUUUUUCACCCCACCCUGCAAGUAUUUGUGUAAUGUGAACUAUAAACAGCUAAUCUUUCAGAAAGGUUCACUGGGAGGG